GGGCGGGGGCGGCCGGGGCGGGCCCCCUGAGCCCCCCGUAGCCAACAUCGGGGUUACCAUCGCCUUUACCUUCGAGUGAUUCAAAGCACAGUGAGUGAAGUGGGAGCAAAAGUCAAUCCCUCAGGAAUGCUGCAAUGUACAGUGCCACACUGCUUGGAGAUAUUUCCGUCCUGCAGACUCAGAUAAAUACACAAGAAGAAGAGGUUAAACAUAUCUCCUCCCCAUGCCGGUGGCACGCAAGACCUCUGCAGCAGGAUCGCUGUCAGGUUCUCUUUGCGCAGACAGAUCCCUGCGGAGCCACACGUCCGCAGGGGCCGCCGCAGUGCCCGUGCUCCCUGGGAGGGAAGGAGCGGGCUGGGGCUGGCCCAUGGUGACACUCGCAUCCCGUGGCAGUCCCACGGCCGGAUGGGGAAGCGCGUCCCGGCCGCGGGGACGGGGAGCGACGCGAACAGCGAGGCGAGAAACGCGCCCGCAAAGCGCUCCGGAGCCAGAGGCACCCCGCGAACCCCCGCGUCCUGACAGCGCCCAGCGCCCUUCCAAAACUCUGAUCCAGUUCAGAGUCCUGCUCCGAAUGUAGUGGCUGUUAAAAAUAGGUUAGAAGCUAUUGUAAAAUAGUUGAUAGUUGUUAAGCAUGUACUGUUAGUUUGGUUAUGGUAAAAGGGGUUAAAAGGGAAGUUAGAAGAAAUACGGUGCUCAACGUACCAUAAUACACCUGAAUAAAGCGCACCACCCCCCAAGCGAAAUGAGCCAGCCUGGACAGAACUGUCAUGGGCCAAUCAACCGCAUUAAACCUUCAUGCAAAUGAAGGAUCCAAAAAGAAACCAAUCCAAAAGGACAAAAAACAAAAUAAAAAGGGGGCUUCUGACCCACUGAACCCGCGCCGCUCCACCUCGAACAUCGGGGACAUCGCUGCUCAGAACACCCGGCGCCGGUGCUGCAGUAUCCUCGACGGGAACGCCCCUGCUCAGCCCGCGGGCCCCCUUGCUUUAGGCCUUUCUUUUUUAUUAGAAUAAAUGCUGCAAUCACGUCUA